AGGAAGUGUCUCCUUCGUUCUGCAGCGGUGCCGGCGCAGGCUCUCGUGGAAGGGAUGUCUACAUGGCGGUGCUGGCAGGAGGUGGUGCUGUGCGUCUGCUGAUGGCAGGAUUUCAGUUCUGUCAGCGUGGCGAGCCUCGCAGUGACUAUGUAACACCGAUGUAUGGGGGACGCUUUUGCCUUCACAUCUCCAGCGGGUUUUUUUUAACUACGAAAAGAAGCAUUUAAAAUCCUUGUUGGGAAUGCCCCUAGGCUGGACGGCUUUGCAGGAGUUGCUGGCGCAAGGCAUAUUUACAUAGCCAGACUUUGACUGGAGAGCAGAGCUUCGGCCUGGCUCAGGCAGGUGCACUCCCAGAGGAGAGGGCCCGGGUGUGUCUCAUGGUACAGAAGAGGCAGGUCUGAGGUUUGAUGGAUAUACAAAGGAUUCUUUAUCGAGGCUGCUGGAUGCAGACAGACCCUGUGGUUCUCUGUGCAACUAGUUCCCAGAUUCACUAACAGCCUCUGCCACCACACAGGGUCUCCUCACAUCCUGCCCCGGACUCACCACCGUGGGUAACUCCUAAAGUAGCUGCUUUCCUCAGGAAGUUGUUGAAAUGGCAAAGCCACCCAUAGAAUACCAGCCUAUAGAGCUUGUCCAAUUCCUAUCACAGACACAGUUCCUUCUCCUUCAGCUGAAUUUCUAAAUCCAUCCCAAACCCAAACCGCUUCACAGCAAUUGACACCUGAUCUGUUAUUCAGAUUCAACAAUGAUACCUGCUCUGACAACUUGCUAACAAGCUUCUAUGACAACAGUCAACAUUCUGAACAGCCGUGGUCGAAGUCCAGGAACAAUCUGAAUGAACAAACUGAUGUGAAGGGCACGAUGGGUGAAAUGCUGGUGCCUCGUGCUGGCGUAAUCCUCCUCACAGACAGAAAUACGGAUGGACUGGGAAAUGCCCAUGGAAAGUGCUUGUACUAG
rnacentral:lncRNA from 1 species